rnacentral:rRNA from 1 species
UACGUAGGGUGCAAGCGUUAAUCGGAAUUACUGGGCGUAAAGCGUGCGCAGGCGGUUUUGUAAGACAGAUGUGAAAUCCCUAGGCUCAACCUAGGAACUGCAUAUGUGACUGCAAAGCUAGAGUACGGUAGAGGAGGAUGGAAUUCCGCGUGUAGCAGUGAAAUGCGUAGAGAUGCGGAGGAACACCGAUGGCGAAGGCAAUCCUCUGGGCCUGUACUGACGCUCAAGCACGAAAGCGUGGGGAG